AGCGAACGCUGGCGGCAGGCUUAACACAUGCAAGUCGAGCGGACCUUUCGGGGUCAGCGGCGGACGGGUGAGUAACGCGUGGGAACGUGCCUUCCGGUUCGGAAUAACCCUGGGAAACUAGGGCUAAUACCGGAUACGCCCUUAUGGGGAAAGGUUUACUGCCGGAAGAUCGGCCCGCGUCUGAUUAGCUAGUUGGUGGGGUAGCGGCCUACCAAGGGGACGAUCAGUAGCUGGUCUGAGAGGAUGAUCAGCCACACUGGGACUGAGACACGGCCCAGACUCCUACGGGAGGCAGCAGUGGGGAAUAUUGGACAAUGGGCGCAAGCCUGAUCCAGCCAUGCCGCGUGAGUGAUGAAGGCCUUAGGGUUGUAAAGCUCUUUUAUCCGGGACGAUAAUGACGGUACCGGAGGAAUAAGCCCCGGCUAACUUCGUG
rnacentral:rRNA from 1 species